GGGCUUUGCUGCAGUGAUUCCGACAUUGCCGGAAUGGACGUUAUUGCUCGAUUAUUCCUCCAAGGAUACACGUGCAUACACCGAGGGGGUAGAGCUGUGCGUAAGAUGGGCUUUGUCCUCGCGUAGGCUGUGUGCCGGCAUCCCACAUGGUCUAAGACAGGCAGCAUCACGGAUGGAGAGAGCCGGGGAGAGAGGCUCCCAUCCCGGAUUGAGUGUAGAAAAAUAUCUCGGCCUCAUCAAAGCCUGGUGGAUUUUGAUAAUUUUGUCUUAUUUAAUAACGCAUCACUGUCCGAUUAUGGAAACUGCAGUUUCAGAUAGACUGAAUAUGAAUCUAUUGAGUGCUGACCAAAGCGCAGGCACACAGAAAUACACACACUCCAUCAGCAGGCCUGCGUCUGAACCUGGAGGACAUCAGGUCAGCAGAGACACACACCACCUCCUGCUCUGAGCAUCUAGAGGUCACAGAGCGGGUCAGAACAAGGCUUCACCACUCCAAAGUUACAGCAGGAAGAGGAGGAGGCAGUGGAGGAGGAAAAAGAGAAGCAGAGUGGGUGGAAGGAUGGAAGGAGAGAAGGAUUGAAGCAGUUCGAGGAGGUGGUUCGAAGCGGGUGAACCCAGAGCAGGUGAACACAGCUGUGGAUCGCCAUGGGCUCUCUGGCUGCCUUCCUCCUGUGGCCCCGGUGCUGCAUACAGGGGUCCCGGGGAGCCAGCAGGGGCCAGCCAAAGCUGCGGCAGAGUGGGCAGGCUAGGCCAGCCAAGCCAGGAGAGAGGCAGGUGAGGCGGGUGAGCCGAGCUCUCAUCCCCGCCGGCUAGGAGCCUCCGCGGCAGAGCGGAGCAGCGUGGAGCAGCAGAAAUCAAUACAGAGGAGAGAGGCUAGCAGAGGUUGCCCAGCACCGCCUGCAGGCCUCGGAGCCCAGGGACCAACCACAACCACUGCUCCCAGCUCCUCUCUCCAUCUCUCUUUCUAUCUUUCUCCAACAGUCCCAGCACCAGCCAGGGCCAGGGCCCUAACCCUGCAACCGCCCCACACGCAGUGUGUGUGUCAGUAGGUGCACAUGUGUGUGUAAAAUAGAGAGAAAAAGGGAGAGGGAAGAGACAGAGAGAGAGAGUCUUUGUGUGUGGUUCAGCCGGAGGGGUUUUUGCUGCGUCCAACACCACUUGAUAAAACUUUGUCAGAGAGACACGGAGACAGCGAGGGAGGGAGAGAAACGGAAGAAGAAUAAGACAGGAUGUCGAAGGUCUCUUUUCUUCCAGCUCCCUCCCCCUUAAUACUCAUUCCACCUUAACUGUUUGAAUAAGGAUCCAUCUGAGACAGUACACAGGACGUUUCUGCUCAGUGCCACUUCCAAGCACAUAGCGCGCAAUAUUCCUAAGAUCUCAUGAGCCAGGAUGAAAGGACAAUUUGAACUUUUUCUCUCAUCCACUAUAUUAGACACAACCUGUCUUUUCGCCUUAGAUUUUCUUACCUUCACUACAGCAGCUCCCAUCAGAGGAUAUGGCAGUGCUGUAUUGAUCUAUAAGGUGGAAGAGAGGAAGGCGGGCCCAGGCUUUCAUACCUCUCUCUCUCUCUCUCUGUGUGUGUGUGUGUGGAAAUAGCACCUGAAGUCCACUUACUGCUGUACAGCAGGGAUCCCAUGGCAGCACAAGUGAAUGGCUGCUAAUUGAAUGAGAGAUGAAAAGGACAGUAGUUGUACCUGUUCAGUGCCCCCCUCCUCCUGUCUGAUACUACUUGGUUUUUCAUCUGACGUUUUUCUCCUCCACGUUUACAAAAGUCCUUCACCACACAAAGAGACUCGCUCUUCAGAUGUUUUAGCAAAUUGGUGGUGACUGAAGAAAAUUGGCAAAAUCCUCAGAGAGCGGUAGAAACAUCCGGCUGAGGUCAUGUCGCAAGACAUACUGUAUAGUACAUUUGUGGACUUUAAAGGACAUUAGAGGACAGAUGAAGAGUUUUCCAUGCAUGAAAACUUAACAGAGAUUACAACGGGAUACAUACCUCUUGAUGCAGCCAGUCAGAGACGCCACCUUGGGGAUGAAAAGCAGCGAUUGAGCUUCCACCGCUGGGCCUUACUCUAACAAAGCACACACGCUGUCCAUAGCCAGUUCCUCUGAACAUGUUUAGCCUCGGCCACACAUGGAAAAUGCCACCUCUACACCUGCACGAACAGUCAGUUAGAUGCACAUCAUUAGAUAUGAUUAUCAGUUGUCUAGUCUGCGGUCUUUGUGGAUGUGGACAGGUAAGUCGGAGCCGCUUCUGAAAGGUAAGUUUAGAAGUUGAAUCAAUUUAAGAGCUGUCUGAAGUGUAAAAUGGAGCUGCCGAGCAAUAUUUCCCAAAAUUAGUUUCAUUAGAUAUGAAUUACUAUGUUUGAGACCAAUUUUAGGUCGGAGAUUGGAUGAGACCCCAAGGGGUCCUUCUUUUCACUCAGUAAUUUACAUUGAAGUAUUUGACUGGAAAAUCGUUUGACAAGAGUUUGUUUCUGUUGAAUUACUUUUCCCUUUUCUGUGGGAUAUUAUGUACACAUACAUAUUUAUACAAUAUUUUUCAUAGUGUAAUGAACUAAUUCAUCGUAAAAUGUUAAAUGGGAUUGCCAAAUGCGGAAAGUGUUGCCCUGAUAUGAUAUAUAUUUUCAAUAAAGUUGAACAAUUUGUGAAUUGAAAA